AAAAAUGAAUAUAUCAUUACUUACAAUAAUGGGAACCUUUUAGGCAUUUUUA
rnacentral:tRNA from 1 species